AUGAUGGGCAAAUCCGAUCCGACUCAUUAAAUGGUGGUUUCCUUAGUUGAUUGGAAAAUAACCCUGCACUACGUGCAAUUACAAACCCCAAUAUUUCUUUCGCUCUGCCUCUUUUUCUGCAAAAUAGAUUUUUCUCUCUAUCACUAAUAUUUCUAAAAUUUACUCUUUUUUUAGAGGAUUCGACAUUUAGGUUGUGAAAACUAGUAUAAUUUUCAUCUUGUGAUCUUGCAUUUGAUCUGUUGGAACGAGUGAUUUGGUUUGAUUAUAUUUUAUCACGAUCUACGAAUUGAAAUUGAGAUAUUUCAUAAACUAAAUUUACUGCCACUAUAGUUUAGAAGUUAAUAGUACUUCUAUACCUCACUUAACCACAGAUCUGUAAAGUAAAAUA
rnacentral:lncRNA from 1 species